rnacentral:rRNA from 1 species
UUUCCCUCAGGAUAGCUGGCACUCGCUCGUAGCGAGUCUCAUCUGGUAAAGCGAAUGAUUAGAGGCCUUGGGGCCGAAACGACCUCAACCUAUUCUCAAACUUUAAAUGGGUGAGAUCUCUGGCUUGCUUGAACGUUGAAGCCACGAGAUUAAUUAUAACGAAAUGGAUCGGAGUGCCAAGUGGGCCAAUUUUGGUAAGCAGAACUGGCGCUGUGGGA